rnacentral:rRNA from 1 species
CAUUUUAUACAAUGGAGAGUUUGAUCCUGGCUCAGGAUGAACGCUAGCGGCAGGCCUAACACAUGCAAGUCGAGGGGC